UACAGCCGCAUUAUUAAAAAAUGCGUCGCUAAAUAUGGCGUUUUUAUGUGUCGAAAUUUUUAGCGAAAAAUUUGUUUCAUCAUCCAGCUACACUGAGCUGAAUUUGUAUUACUACGUCACGGUGGCUAGAUAGUGAAUCACUACGUCACGGUGGGGAAAAAGUGCACCAGUUGGUGCAACAGUCCCGAGUCUCUUUGGCCGAGUGAACCACCUAAACGUCACGAAUUUCAUUGUUUUUUAGCCUACGUCACGGUGGGAAAUCGCUGCUGACUGUUGCACUUAAGCCCACGAACACCAAAAUUUCAUUCUGACUGGUGCACUUGAGCCAGCGUUAUAAAUCUUCAAACCUUCAAAAUUAUAAUUACAUGACUAUCGCAUUUGGCUUAUUUAUAUCUUGAAGUCAUCAUGGCUGAAAGUAGGCAAUAUACGAUUUUGGCUCAUUGAUUCAAGACAGUUAAACCAGCGAGAUUUCUUCUGUAAGAAAGGAUUAUGAAGCAAAAGUCUCUGCUGCCAUUCCGACUAAAACAGACCUGUUUCGAAAAGGAAAGCUGGCGAGAGAUCUUAACGCAGAGUUGAUUAUCCCUAACCAUAUGGGAGAUAAUUGGCGGGCUUUAAAAACUAGAGGUGACGGUAACUGCAUGAACAUUUCUUUGCUAUGUCUACGUAUCUUUUUCUGCUGUUGUUGGACCAGUGGUAUGAAGUGUGAUUAAUGGUCAAAAACUUGUGCUUCAUUUGUGAGAUAUAAAAGGCUUCUUUGCGUUUCACGACAAAAAAUAUGCCAAGCUUCUACCUUUUCAAAAUCACUCGUGGAUUGGAAUGAUACCUUCCUGAUUGUAAGUUUUGGCGAAGGUAUGAAACUUGAUAAAUCUGAUAGUAGUAAUGAAAAUGUUUAAAGGUUAGUGGAAUUUUAGAUUUUAUAUCAUUGAAAUUUGCGAAAAGUUUACAAACUAAGUAAAGCCAAGUUUUUUUUAAA